CUGCUGAUCAGAAGGUCGGUGGUUCGAAUCCCCGUGACGGGGUGAGCUCCCAUUGCUCGGUCCCUGCUCCUGCCAACCUAGCAGUUCGAAAGCACAUCAAAGUGCAAGUAGAUAAAUAGGUACUGCUCCGGUGGGAACGUAAAUGGCAUUUCCAUGUGCUGCUCUGGUUCGCCAGAAGCGGCUUAGUCAUGCUGGCCACAUGGCCCAGAAGCUGAACGCCAGCUCCCUCGGCCAGUAAAGUGAGAUGAGCGCCGCAACCCCAGAGUCAACCACGACUGGACCUAAUGGUCAGGGGUCCCUUUACUUUCUUCAUGAAUGGUCUUAAGCAUUGAAUUGGAUUGUUUAACCCUGAAAGCAAUACAGUAUGUUGGAAAGGCCGCUGAAUAGCAAAAAUUAUUCUCACUCCACAGAGUAUAAUAUAUUUUCUUGACUGCUUGUUGGGGGAAGGGGAAACACUAUUUCAGUUAACAAUGCAAGUGGAGCAUACAAUUAACGAGCGCUCAGUUCAAUUGGAGGUGAAUUCAUGUCGUAUGUAAACAUAUCCCUGGGAUGGCGUAGUUGGUAGAACAUGAGACUCUUAAUUCCUGUCUUGUGGGUACGAGCCCCACGCUGGGCAAAAAAGAUUCCUGCAUUGCAGGGGGUUGGACUAGAUGAUCCUUGUGGUCCUUCCAACUACAGUUCGCCUACGACAUAAAGAUUUGCAGCGCAUGGCAGAGCUAUAGUUGUAGCACUGACGACUGCAUUAACUGUUGUCACCACAUUUCAAAAUAGUGGGGCUAUACCAGUGUGGACAGUUAGACUAAAUUGCCCUUAGAGAGGCAAAUGGCCGUAGUGGAUAGAGACACGGAAGGAGUAAAUAAGAAAAAUAAGCAAUUACUUCUACAGGACAGGGAAGGGUGGGUUCCUUCCCUGGCUUAAGA